rnacentral:misc_RNA from 1 species
AAAGACAAGAUAGACACCUCCAUCACAAGGCGUACUUGGCGUUCACUGCAGACAUCUAUGCUCAAGCAAGGUCUGGAUCCAUAUACUUCAUCUCCCGAGACAAUUUUUCUCAAGGAACUGAUUAGAGCAUCUUCAGGCUUCUUGUUUGUGUCUUUGCAAGCAGUUAUCCAAUUCUUAACUCGAGAUUUGAUCCUUUGUGCAAAUACAGAAUCAGCAACUGUAUAUCCUGAUGGAGUUUGAACUGUACAGCUUAUAGGUGAUGCAUUUCCAAUUCUAUCUACUGCGGCUGAUUCUUGUGAUUUGGAUAAAUAUGAUAUGCCUGUCAGAACAAGAGUA